GUGUAACAUUAGUGACGUGUCAUGAUGAGAGAUGCUGAUGAAUUUAAACUGUGGAUUGUCCAAAGACUGUCUGAAAUAGAAUGCAAAGGAGAUCCCAUAAGUAUUGCUAUAUAUACAGUCGCAAUCCUCGGGAAAUCUAAAGACGACCCAAACAUCCGAAACAGCUGCAUUUCCUACCUACAAGAAUUCCUCGGAUCAAACACAGAAAGAUUCAUAGACGACCUCCUACAAGUCUACAGCACUGCAGAAUUCAAUUCCAGCACAGAAGAUGACCCUUCCCCUCGAAUUCCCUCCUCCAUCGAGGCAAU